GAUAGGUCUGGUCAGUUGAGUCCAUACCAAGAUUAGGUGCCUGUCACAACAAAGAGGUACUGGAAAUGAAGGACCAAGCGGGCCAAUGCCAUUGCAAUCCAUGACUUGGGCCCAAUUUUUCCAUCCCAAGGAAAGUGAGCUUGCAUGACUUCAUGAACUUUUGGAACUGCCUCUGCAAGAGGGCAAUCAGAAAAUUGAUGAACAGAUCAACUAUUGGCCCAAGACACUGAGUCAAUGCACUAGAAAGUCUAAAAUUGACUGGCUCCCUGGACUGCUGGAUGUCCUUGGUCUUUUACAUUUCACAUAGCCUAAUUAUUGGUUUUGUUUCAGACCUUCAUAGUCAACAUCUGACCUUCAGGCAAGGAUUCCACCCUGUUGCAAAUGAGGGGGAAAAAGACAAGGGGCUCCAAUCGGAGGAAGCUGGCUGGAAGCAUUUAGAAAAAAUGUGCGCCAAGUUUUCAAAAGGAAAAAAAGAAAAGAAUGAAAAAGAAAAGAAAAUAAUGGAGAUGAAGACCUCACUCAUGUCAUAUGAGUAUAUCUUCUUGGCCCUCCUUGGCGCACCCAAUCCAAACUGAUUGCUCAUAUUUGUGGUCACUCUUGAGCUGAACUGGAACUGGGGACUCUUGAGGCAUAUGCUUCAAACAACCGGAACCGUUCUUAUUGGUUUGCAACAGACUCUUAACUGCAUCCAGGGAGCAAACGCCUGAACUUCACAAAUAACACGGCAGUCCUUCCAUGAAAGACUCAAUUUUUUUGCAAGGGCAAUGGCUCGGAAUGAGGAGCUGAGUGGCCUGAUGGAUGAGCUUUACCAUGGCCAGGGUCAGGCUCGGAAGAAGAGUUUGAGCACUUGAUCCGUGGCAACUGGCAAGGAUGGGACUCGAAAUGCGAUUGGCCUGAGCUAUUAGUAAUUUAGUACAGGAGCUGCUUGUUCUAGGGUGUCCCAAACAUGUUAAUUACAUUAAAGUUAGAACUUCACUCCAUUUGCCACCCAGGAUCAUCACUGCCGGCACAGCAUAGACUGCAGCUGCCUCAGCUGCAGUUGCACGUUUACUAUUCCCGUUCACUUUCAUGAAAUGGGAACUAAUUCCUCUUUCUCUUGCGCAGGGUGCUGCCCUCUUGGGCGGCAAAAUAUUCUACAGGUCCUUCGCACCUACGCUCUGGCUGUCUGCCUGCCUUUUAAAGGUGCGGGCCAGGAGGCACCGGCCACGGUCGUCCGGUGAACCAACGGCGUCUCAAGUUCCGCUCUUGCGGAGGAGGCGAGAUGCCAGGCUGCGCGCGGCACGAUGCUGAGGGCGUGGGGGAGGCUCCCUGCUGAGUUUUUUGCCGCGGGGGUGCUAGGCUAGCCCGUGCUUCUCCAGAACCUGAGCUUAUCAGUUGCUCCAUUUGCUCCAAGCUACUGGCAACAGAUUGUUCCGCUGCCUACAGAAUCAAAUAAGCGCGCGACGACGCGCAUUGUGAGAAGCAGCAGCAGCAACCUGAUGGAGUGUCCAGCAGCAUGACUCUCCUAUAAACUCUAGUGCUACGUACAAGGUACUUGUGUGCCGUCGUCGUCAUUUUUUUUCCUUCACUGGAUGGAACUGUAUCAUCAACUUUGCUUGCAUGCCUUUUGUGAUUGUAAAUAUGCACAACAAAUUCGCGUCACAAAAUAGCAAAAUUUGAUACUUUAGGUUCUUGAGAACAGAGGAAUCAAAGUGAAGAACGAGGCUACACAGUGUGUCGGUCAGCAGUUAGGCUCGGAGCCUGAGUUCAUCAACCAACUAAAAUCCGAGACAAUAACAAGGAUUGGCACUCUCGUGUUCCAUUUCUCGCAUGCACCGCGCUAGCUAGCUGCUAGCAUAACUGCAUCUGCUUGCAUGCUGGAGUUGCACAUCACUCAUGCUUCUGCUAAGCCGUGCUACCUCUUACUUGAAUUGUACAAAAUUUGCAUGCUAUCAGGCAGAGUAAUCUCUAGGAAAUUUAGCGUGUGGUGCUCGCGAAAAGAUAUGUCCCUUUUGUUGGCUAUGGCUCGUUGGAGGGGCUAAUUAACCUAACAAGAGUCCUUUUUUUUUUUGCAUUUGCCACUGUAAUUUCUUGCUCCCUGUCUUUCUCUUGAAAGCUCGAGUCAGCCCUUAAGGUCUAGCUGAAAGGUGAAGAAAGGUAGUACUCUACCAGAGCCCCGUGAAUCCAAGCUGGGAUUAUUUCCGGACCUGCAGCGACGACUUUUAAGGUGGUGUUGGCAUCUUCUCUCUUACACGCUCCAAGUAGCUAGCGGUUGGCUUGGUAGCUGGUUCAACAAGAAUCAAGAGGUCUCCGGUUCAUGCGUUGGCGAAUUGGAAUCGCCACCGCUGAAAUCAGCAAAGGAAGUGGUUCAUCGCAUGACCUUGUCCCACGGCACCACUUGUGUGAAUAGUCUCCAGCAGAAUCUUCCAUAUCCUUGCUAUUACAUAGUAGUAAUUAUAUGUCAUCUUCUCCUCAUGACAUUUUCUGAUGAUCUGCUGCUCUCUUCAAUUUUUCCACAAGAAAAAAAAAAGGCAUGUGGCACACAGACGUGAUCUGGCAUGGUACAAAAUUUUUACCGGCCUAAACAGAGACAUAAUCAGGUCCAGUUUACCUGGGCGGGCCGUAUCCGGUGCUCCAUUUAAUCUUACCGAUUCCCUCCGUCGUCGAUCGGCGCGGCGGAACCUGAUCGUAACAGCCGCGGCCCAUCCCUGCGUCCCAUUCGAAUCAGGAUGGCAACGGUCCCGUCCCCGCCCCGAUCCCCGCCAUUUGUUCCCCGUCCCGGCCCCGAUUUCCAGCAAAUAUUGCCUCCGUCCCCGAACUCGACGGAUCCUCGAAAUCCGUCGGGGGCCGUGGGGAUUCAUGUAGCAGCAAAAGAAUAGCAUCACAGUUCAUUUUUAAGGAAUCAAAUUACAUUUUCAGCAAUUUGCUACAUGAGUUCAAGAAUCCAAAUUUGACUACAGAUUCGACAUACACAAAGGACAACAAUUUAUACAAGAAUAAAGCAGCCAAUUGGUCUCCAAAGAUCUUGGCCCAGGCUUGGUGAUGACGCAGAUUGCGCGGAGUUGUAGAGCCGCAAGAAAAAAGGACGCAUAAGCUCCAAGUGGUCAGAAUUUGCAAGAAUCAAAGAGGUGCUUUUUAAAAAAUGAGGCAUAAUCCGGACAGAGGACACAUCUAGAGAGUUGAUGUCUACGGAUCAGACAUCAAACAUCUACUAGCACAUAGAUCGAGACAACUACUUGCUUGCGGUGGUGUUAGCAACAUUGCUUGCGCCUCAGUCUUGCCGGCGCAUCCCCGACUGUUCCCUCGUGCUCGACGACAGGGAGGACGAGGAUACAUGGGGCAAAUGGCGAGGGAAGUGGGUCUUGAUGGUAACUGGAUAGGGUUAGGUUUGGAAAUGCUUACACACACACACACACACACAUAUGUUGAGCUAUUGGGCUGUUGGGCUGAUGUUUCUCUUAUGGGCCAGAGUAUUUUCGGGUCCCUGCGGGCCUCCGCGGGGGAGAAUGAUCCCCGCCCCCGCCCCGCUUCCCGCGCGGGGAAAUUGUCAUUCUGACGUUCGAAGGGUAGGCACAAUUGUAAUCUGUAACAAACAAUGCUCUUCCUGAAUUAAAAAACGAUGCUCUUCCGUUUUUUACUUUU